rnacentral:rRNA from 1 species
AUUGAACGCUGGCGGCAGGCCUAACACAUGCAAGUCGAACGAGACCUUCGGGUCUAGUGGCGCACGGGUGCGUAACGCGUGGGAAUCUGCCCUAUGGUACGGAAUAACUCAGGGAAACUUGAGCUAAUACCGUAUAAUGACUUCGGUCCAAAGAUUUAGCGCCUGAGGAUUAGCCCGCGUCGGAUUAGCUUUUUGGUGAGGUAAAAGCUCACCAAGGCGACGAUCCUUAGCUGGUCUGAGAGGAUGAUAAGCCACAGUGUGACUGAGACACGGCCAAGGCUCCUACGGGAGGCAGACGGGGGGAAUAUUGGACAAUGUGCGAAAGCCUGAUCCAGCACUGCCGCGUGAGUGAUGAAGGCCUUAGGGUUGUAAAGCUCUUUUACCCGGGAUGAUAAUGACAGUACCGGGAGAAUAAGCCCCGGCUAACUCCGUGCCAGCCGCCGCCGUAAAAC